UGGAUUCUGUGUGUCUCUCUCUCUGCCCUUCCCCCACUUGCACUGUCUCAAAAAUAAAUAAACAUUAAAAAGGAAUUUUUUAAUGGGGUGGUGCAUUUAAAGACGGGCACCCCCCCAGAAUCUAAGGGCCCAGAGAGAAUUGUAGAGAGGUCACGUCUUCAGCUGCUCUUGAAGGACGGUGCUAUGGACUGCAUGCUUGUGUCCCCCCCCACCCCAAAUUCAAAUGUUGACGCCUAAUCCCCAGUGUGGUGGUGGUAGGAGGUGGGGCCUUUGAGAGAUGAUCACCCGUCGUGAAUGGGUCGGUGCCCUUUUAAGAAGAGAGAUGAUCUCACUGGGUGUUGUAUGGAAACCAAUUUGACAAUAAAUUUCAUAUUAAAAAAAAAAAAAGAAGAAGAGAGAUGGUCUCUCUCUCCAUCAUGUGAGGAUGUAAGAAGAUGGCCAUCCGCAAACCGGGAAGAAGGCCCUCCCCGAGACCGAUCUGCCAGCACCCUGACCUCGGACCUCCCGGCCUCCAGAACUAUGGGAAACGGAUUCAUCAGCAAGUGACGAUCCUAAGUCCCACCGAGUCUACCCCCUUAGCCUUCUGGGGCUGUGGCCACCCCUCCCCCCUCCACCCGGAACAGAAAAAGGACGUUGGUAGAAAAGCUGCAAGAAAUCCAAAGAGCGUCUGAAAUCUGGUGAAUAGUAAUGUAUCGAUGUUAACCUCGUACUAUCGACACAUAGUAGCUACCAUAUGUAUGUAAGAUGUUGACAGUAGGAGAAACCGGGUGAGGGGUACCCUGAACUUGGCAACUUUUCUCUGAAUCUCAAAAUACUCCUACAACAAAAAGGUAUGUUUAAAAGCAAAUCUAACCAUAUCCUUCUGGUGCUUAAAAGUAGGGCGACCAGCUCUCCCAGUCCGCCCAGGCUGGGGGCAGAUUCUGGGACGCAGGAUUUACUGUUGCGAGAAAGACCCCAGGCAAACAGGGACUGUUGGUCCCUCUAAACCCUCUGCUGGCCCCUUAUCAGGUAGAGAUAAAGUUCAAAUCCUUCAGGCUGGCUAAACUAGGCUUUCCAUGGCCUGCACCUGACCCGUGCCUCUAAUCACAGAACUCACUGUGAUCCCGCACCCUGCCCACCACCCUGGACUCUGCUGGGUGCACUCCCCCAGGAGCCUAGCUUCCUCUCCACCUGUGCCUUGGCUGAUACUGUCUUCUUAGCUGGGAGGGCUUUCUCAUCCCCCGCGUCCCCCUUGGCCAACACCCAGCAUCCCGUUUCAGGUGCAACCCCCACUAAAACCUUUCUCUACCCAAAGGGCUUAAAAACCUAUGUCCACACAAAAACCUGCACGCAGGUAUUUCCAGCAGCUUUAUUCACAGUUGUCAACACUUGGGAGCAACCAAGACGUCCUUCAGCAGGUGAGUGAGCCAAUAAAUAGUGAUCUAUCCAGGCCGUGGAAUAUCGUUCAGCACUUAAAAAUGAGCCAUCAAGCCAUGAAAAGGUGUGGAGGAAAUUUAAAUGCAUGUUACUAAGUGAAAGAAACCAAUCUGAAAAAGGCUGCAGACUGUAUGAUCCCAACUACAGGCUUAUUCUGGAAAAGGUAAAACUAUGAAGACAAUAAAAGGAUCAGUGGUUGUCAGGGGUUGGAGGGAGGAGAGGGAUGAACAGAGGGAGCACAGAGGAUUUUUAAGGCAGUGAAACUAUUGUAUAUAGUACACUAUGAUGGUGGAUAUGUGUCAUGAUGCAUUUGUCAAAACCCAUAGAAUAUACAACACCAAGAAUGAGUUCAUGUAAACUGUGGACUUCGGGUGGGUAAGACCGAUGUGUCACUGGAGCAUCGUCCAUUGUAACCAGUGUGCCCUCUGAUGCAGGAAGUUGGCAAUAGAAGAAAGAGGCUGUGCGUGUGUAAAGGCAGGUGACAUACGGAAAAUAUCUGUAUCUUCCCCUCAGCUUUGCUGUGAACUGAAAACUGCUCGAGAAAAUAAAGUCUAUUUUUUAUUA